rnacentral:rRNA from 1 species
UACAGAGGGUGCAAGCGUUAAUCGGAAUUACUGGGCGUAAAGCGUGCGUAGACGGUUAUGUAAGUCAGAUGUGAAAGCCCCGGGCUCAACCUGGGAAUUGCAUUUGAGACUGCAUAGCUAGGGUGCGGAAGAGGGAAGCGGAAUUUCCGGUGUAGCGGUGAAAUGCGUAGAUAUCGGAAGGAACACCAGUGGCGAAAGCUGCUUCCUGGUCCAGCACCGACGUUCAGGCACGAAAGCGUGGGGAGCAAACAGG